rnacentral:rRNA from 1 species
UACGGGGGGGAGCAAGCGUUGUUCGGAUUUACUGGGCGUAAAGGGCGCGUAGGCGGUCAGCACAAGUCAGUUGUGAAAUCUCCGGGCUUAACUCGGAAAGGUCAACUGAUACUGUGCGACUAGAGUGCAGAAGGGGCAACUGGAAUUCUCGGUGUAGCGGUGAAAUGCGUAGAUAUCGAGAGGAACACCUGCGGCGAAGGCGGGUUGCUGGGCUGACACUGACGCUGAUGCGC